GUGGAGCAUGUGGUUUAAUUCGAUGCAACGCGAAGAACCUUACCAUCCCUUGACAUCCACAGAAGAGACUAGAGAUAGACUUGUGCCUUCGGGAACUGUGAGACAGGUGCUGCAUGGCUGUCGUCAGCUCGUGUUGUGAAAUGUUGGGUUAAGUCCCGCAACGAGCGCAACCCCUAUCCUUAUUUGCCAGCGCGUUAUGGCGGGAACUCUAAGGAGACUGCCGGUGAUAAACCGGAGGAAGGUGGGGACGACGCCAAGUCAUCAUGGCCCUUACGGGAUGGGCUACACACGUGCUACAAUGGCAAGUACAGAGGGCAGCAAUACCGCGAGGUGGAGCGAAUCCCACAAAGCUUGUCGUAGUCCGGAUUGGAGUCUGCAACUCGACUCCAUGAAGUCGGAAUCGCUAGUAAUCGUAGAUCAGAAUGCUACGGUGAAUACGUUCCCGGGCCUUGUACACACCGCCCGUCACA
rnacentral:rRNA from 1 species